rnacentral:rRNA from 1 species
UACGGAGGAUGCGAGCGUUAUCCGGAUUUAUUGGGUUUAAAGGGUGCGUAGGCGGAGUGCCAAGUCAGCGGUAAAAAUUCGGGGCUCAACCCCGUCGUGCCGUUGAAACUGGCGCCCUUGAGUGGGCGAGAAGUAUGCGGAAUGCGUGGUGUAGCGGUGAAAUGCAUAGAUAUCACGCAGAACUCCGAUUGCGAAGGCAGCAUACCGGCGCCCUACUGACGCUGAGGCACGAAAGCGUGGGUAUCGAACAGG